GACGGAGGAUGCAAGCGUUAUCCGGAAUGAUUGGGCGUAAAGCGUCCGCAGGUGGCAGUUCAAGUCUGCUGUCAAAGACCGGGGCUCAACCUCGGAAAGGCAGUGGAAACUGAACAGCUAGAGUAUGGUAGGGGCAAAGGGAAUUCCCAGUGUAGCGGUGAAAUGCGUAGAUAUUGGGAAGAACACCGGUGGCGAAAGCGCGCGACUGGACCUGAACUGACACUGAGGGACGAAAGCUAGGGGAGCGAAAGGG
rnacentral:rRNA from 1 species